AAAUCUUGGCCUUUUGGCUAAGAUCAGGUGUAGUAUCUGUUCUUAUUAGACUGUGUUCAGAUAUAGCAAAAGGGGUGACUUGGAGAUGCCCAUAGAGACAGUGUGUGGCACUCAUGUUCCCAAGUCUUCUCUAAUCCAC
rnacentral:snRNA from 1 species